CCUACGGGAGGCUGCAGUGGGGAAUCUUGGACAAUGGGGGGAACCCUGAUCCAGCCAUGCCGCGUGUGUGAAGAAGGCCUUUUGGUUGUAAAGCACUUUAAGCGAGGAGGAGGCUACUAGUAUUAAUACUACUGGAUAGUGGACGUUACUCGCAGAAUAAGCACCGGCUAACUCUGUGCCAGCAGCCGCGGUAAUACAGAGGGUGCGAGCGUUAAUCGGAUUUACUGGGCGUAAAGCGUGCGUAGGCGGCUGAUUAAGUCGGAUGUGAAAUCCCUGAGCUUAACUUAGGAAUUGCAUUCGAUACUGGUCAGCUAGAGUAUGGGAGAGGAUGGUAGAAUUCCAGGUGUAGCGGUGAAAUGCGUAGAGAUCUGGAGGAAUACCGAUGGCGAAGGCAGCCAUCUGGCCUAAUACUGACGCUGAGGUACGAAAGCAUGGGGAGCAAACAGGAUAGAUACCCUAGUAGUC
rnacentral:rRNA from 1 species